rnacentral:rRNA from 1 species
UACGUAGGGUGCAAGCGUUAAUCGGAAUUACUGGGCGUAAAGCGUACGCAGGCGGCUUUGCAAGACAGGUGUGAAAUCCCCGGGCCUAACCUGGGAACUGCAUUUGUGACUGCAUGGCUAGAGUUUGUCAGAGGGGGGUGGAAUUCCACGUGUAGCAGUGAAAUGCGUAGAUAUGUGGAGGAACACCGAUGGCGAAGGCAGCCCCCCUGGGAUGUGACUGACGCUCAUGUACGAAAGCGUGGGGAGCAAACAGG